UACGAAGGGGGCGAGCGUUGUUCGGAAUCACUGGGCGUAAAGGGCGCGUAGGCGGCGUGACAAGUCACUUGUGAAAUCUCCGGGCUUAACUCGGAACGGUCAAGUGAUACUGUCGUGCUAGAGUACAGAAGGGGCAACUGGAAUUCUCGGUGUAGCGGUGAAAUGCGUAGAUAUCGAGAGGAACACCUGCGGCGAAGGCGGGUUGCUGGGCUGAUACUGACGCUGGAGGCGCGAAAGCUAGGGGAGCGAACGGG
rnacentral:rRNA from 1 species